rfam:Schistosoma curassoni strain Dakar, Senegal genome assembly, scaffold: SCTD_scaffold0001145
AUCCAGCUGACGAGUUCCAAAUGGGACGAAACGUGCGUUUUGGAU